GCAGGAGAGGUUCGCGAUUUAAAUCCCUCUAUAAAAAACUAAGGAGAU
rnacentral:ncRNA from 2 species